rnacentral:rRNA from 1 species
UACAGAGGGGGCAAGCGUUGUUCGGAAUUACUGGGCGUAAAGGGCGCGUAGGCGGCCACUGCAAGUCGGUUGUGAAAUCUCCGGGCUUAACCCGGAAAGGUCAACCGAUACUGCAGGGCUAGAGUGCAGAAGGGGCAACUGGAAUUCUCGGUGUAGCGGUGAAAUGCGUAGAUAUCGAGAGGAACACCUGCGGCGAAGGCGGGUUGCUGGGCUGACACUGACGCUGAUGCGCGAAAGCUAGGGGAGCGAACGGG